UAUAAUUGAUCUCUAAUUAUGACAAAGUCAUCAUUAAGUUUAAGUAGGCCCUAUAAAUGAACCGUUAAUUAAGUAAUUAAAGAAAUGUUUCAAGAGAUCUAGAGCGGGAAAAUAUGGGUAGAAAUGGUAGUAGAAAACCAGUCCUGGAGAAGAUUAUGGUACUAGUAAUUGUACUUGUGCUAAUUGUAGUGCAAGCUGAUAAUCCUCCCCCUCCCUCUAUAAUUUCUCCUUGCUUUUCCUCUCUCAAACCAUGUGAAGAUCAUGGAAGCCACAGAAACAUAAAAAGAUGCAAUGAAAGGUGCAAACGUACUUGUGCUGGAUUCAGAACUGAACAUAUAUACAGGGGUUGCGUUGGUGGUUGCAAAGCACAGUGCUUGAAAGGAGGGCUUCGAAGUCAAUAUAGGCCGGCUAGACUACAUUGGUGAUAGAAUGGAAGGAGAUUCAGAAGCAAGCUAGAGCAAUAAAAGGAAGAAUAAAAGUUGUUUCUUGUUAUUGAAGAAUAAGAUUGAUGCAAUUAAUUGUACGUUAUAUAUAUGUUUUUCUCAAAUUUGUUUGUACCAAAUUAAGGAAGCUAUAUAUAUAUAUAUAUAUAAUAUGGAUCUGGAUCA